UACGUAGGGGGCAAGCGUUGUUCGGAAUUACUGGGCGUAAAGGGCGCGUAGGCGGCACAGCAAGUCGGGAGUGAAAGCCCGGGGCUCAACCCCGGAACUGCUUUCGAAACUGCUGAGCUAGAGUGCGGAAGAGGCAACUGGAAUUCCCAGUGUAGCGGUGAAAUGCGUAGAUAUUGGGAAGAACACCGGAGGCGAAGGCGGGUUGCUGGGCCGACACUGACGCUGAGGCGCGAAAGCGUGGGGAGCAAACAGG
rnacentral:rRNA from 1 species